AAAAGGAGUUCUAGGAUUGGAGUGAGGACCUAGAAGUUGGGAAGAAACCCCAGACAGGGCAACACCUGCGACAUGCUCCCCGUAUGGCCAGCACAUCCUUUGCCCAAAAGGUGGUAUCACUCCCAUGACUUCCUAAACUCUUCAGGUGUUGAAGACACACGCACAAUGUCUGGGGAACUCUGGCACCCACCAACACCCUCCCUUAGAGUAUCCUAGAGUGACUUCUGAAGGGGUUGGCCAGGGAUAUGGAAAUAAUUUUUGGACAGUUUGACUCCCUGAAGAAAUAGAUGAAGCGGUUUGGUAACUAAACCAGGUGAAAACUCUCUGGAUACUGACAUUGGAAUCACUUAACAUUUUUCUUUCCUUCCGUCCUUACCCCACACUGUUUUUCUUCCUUCAAGCCCACUCAGCCCAAAGAGUAAAAUAGGGGUCCUUUAUCUGAGGACUGCUUCUCAACAGAGUAUAGUAGGCAGUUUUGUAGGUCCAGAACUUUCUCACAACCGAACUCCUUAUUCAGGGCGGGGCAUAGGUCAGGAUUGAGAUCUCUGUUCCGGGGCUGUCUAGGGAUGCUAGUCCGCUACCUGAGGCCCUCUCGGGUGCUCAGGGCUGCCUGUCGAGCAGCUAGUUCUCUGUAGCCGGCCCUGCAGGAGUUAAAGCCCCAGACAGACAAAAGCGAGGCUGCGGCAGCUCCUUUUCUCGGCUGUCAGUUGCAAAUAGAACCGCUGCCCUCUGUACUUUAACUCCCGACAGAAAGGGCAUUUUAUUACAGGCUAUGACAAGUUGCAGGGAGACCGCGGAGAACUCAAUAAGAAGGAGCGGCGAGUGGAAUCAAAAACCCUCGGAAUGUUUGGAAGACUGAGCGAAGAUGGCUCCAAAUGAUAGGCGGGAAAUGGAUGCUUCCCUCUCCCGAGUUGGUUUCUUCCUGGUCCUCUGCGAGAAGCUGCCUGCGAUCAGCAUUUUGCAAACUUCUACUAGACUUUAUUAGAGUUUUCCCCCACCUCUCUUCCCCUGAGUUCCCCUCUUCUCACGAAGUUAGCACGGGAGGGGGAAAGUGAUACCAGCGAAGGGAAGAGAAAUAUUUUCUGCCCCCACCCCGCUUGCUGCUUAGUAAAGUGGCCUCAGUCUGAGCUACCCAGGGUCUUUCUAGGAACUGCUGUCUGAGAGUGGGAGAGCAUAUCCUCCUCCCUACCCGCCCCCAGCAGUUCUGUAGGCGCUUUUAACAACCUAUCUCCCAGUGAAAAACAGUGCUGCGUAGAAACUAUGCAGACCGGUAGAACUGCUCUUCCCUAAAGGGCGGUAGUGGGGACCCCUACUAGAAAAUAAACACCCCAGCUAGAGGCGGACCUUGUAGAAUUCAGGUUGAUUUGAGGAUGCCCCUUCAGUUGGAGAGUGCUGGAGAAGGGACUUCCGAGGAACCUUGUAAUACAAAAGGUGAAAUGUGUUUAUCACAACUCCAUGCUCAGAAUCCUUGCCAAGAAAGGCAGAGUUGGUAGUUGUCAAAGCCAGCUGUGCCUCCUGCCCCCCAAACUGAUUUGCUUGAAGGGUCCAGCUCAGCCAAUACCCCAAAUAAGAAAGAUGACAAACAGUAAUACUCAGGGCACUGUGCAAACGGUUACAAAGAAACUGCAGCUCCCUCUCCCUCUUUUAAAAAAAAAAAAAACCCAUGGAAGAAAAAGCACGAGCAAUCUUAAAUAAUUCCAUAAUCGAGACAGAAAGAGCAGAUACACUGUAAAGUCAUAGCUUAUGGCAAAAUGUUUCCUGGCUUCCUGUGUCCUGUUUGGUAAAAAAACAAACAAACAAAAUUAAACUUAGCUGAAGCUUUUGGGUUCUUCUUUGACUGGAGAAGUGGCAAGAAUCAAAGGUUUUAAAAGUUUGUGGUUUCAAAAAAGACCUGAUCUUGGAUACAUUUUGCCAGAUUCCCACCCCUUGCAAACAAAACAGUGCCUUCUAACUUUGUUUUCUCAACUUUCUUUCUCAACCUCACCCCAAGUUUUUUGGUUUCUUCUUCUUCUCAGAACUUGAUGCGUUUUCCUUUGUUUCUGCCGAAGUAUUUCUGACUUGGAUAAUUAUGAAUUAUCUGUCCUCUCCCUAGAGCUUUGCGACACUCCCCACUCACUUGCCUCAGCGUGGAGCAGAUCCCCACCUCUAAGAUCUGACAGCGGUCGGUUGGAGAAGGUUAGAAGGUUCCUGUGGCUUGGGCUGAAACAAUGCCCUGGGUACCCAAUGUGUGCUGAAUAACUACCACAGAAAUAGAUAUUAAAAUUAAAUAGCCACAAAACUAAGAGGGUGGGGGUAAACAUACCACAAAACAUGAUUUUUACUAACAAGGAAGUUAUAAGGUGAAUGAAUGUAAAGGGUGCUGCUUCUUCCUCUGCAUGGUAUAAGACUAGCGAUUACUGGACCAUGAAGAGAAAACUCUGCUUCUCUUCUCCCCUGUUAUUUUGUUAGAAAUCUUUCAGAACUGAACAAAUGCAGAAUGUUUGUUCUCAAAAAAAAAAAGUGUGCUUACUACUGCCGAAUAAAUCUUUAAAAGGCUGUGGUUCUUCUCAUUAAAUAAGUAGCAUAUGAAAUAAUUUUUAAAAACUCUGUCAAAAAAGUUCCUUCAAUAUUUUGGUUUUGAAAUGGUUGUGAGGGGAACAAUGUAAACGAAAUUACUUCCUCGGCAUGGUCUGUGUAAAAGUGAAUCCUGAAAUAUCAGAGAGGGUAAAGGGGCCAUAGAGCAAUGUGACCCAGGCUGGGGUUGCACUCCCUGACCCUGUGUGCAUCUGGGAAAGGCAAAGGUGCACCUCACUCUUCAUAUUUUUCCUUCCCUCUUUCAAUAUGGAAUCUUGUUUCAAUUUAUGCUUCAGAAUAA